AGUAUCACGAGUCUCACACGUUGUUGUAGGACAAGGAAUUAACUCUCGAAAAACGAAAGUCAUUCUAUUGUCAAAAGUCUGAUAAUCAUUAAACAAUUGCAACUUACACAAGCACAAUCGGUCGUUUCUCUGAUACAAGCGUUAAAUGAAAAUCAACGGAGGAUAUUGUUUCAACAUUUUAUGCUCAACACGUAUAUCUUUUUUUAUUUUGAUAUCUGUAAAAAUAUAGAUACGGAGAUGGAAACAAGUGUUCUAUUAUUUGUUUGUCGAAAGACAACUGUUUGGUUUCGAGAUCGUAGGGGGUUUUGUUAUACACAGUGUAAGUCGUGUACAUUGUUCUUGAGGAACGCUCCGUGACAAUAAGCGAAUCCCCUUGGGGGACGAGGGUGGAAAUAAUACUUUCCUUGUUAUUAAUUCGGAUAAUUUUAUAUAAGUAUGUAGAUAUGAAACGAGACAGUGUGGGAAAUUUGAUGAAAUUUAACCAGUACUUUCAACGCAUUUGCGGUCACUGCUGUGAAUUCACGUUUUUUAAAAUAUAAUAACUUUUAAAUAUUUUAAUUUUCUGCUAUUUUCCAUUCGCGACUUCUUUAACAGAAAGUUCUUGAGCUGCGCUUGAAGUUCCCAUCUUAGCUGCUGCAAGCCUCGCCACAGUUGACAGUGCCUAAGAAUAGAAGAAAAGUAUGUACAUAAAAUGAAUAAAUAACAUAAAAGCGACAGAUGUAUAAAUAACUGAAGACUAAAUUGAAUAAGUAAAAAACCUUCUCAAUCUCUUCUGGAGUUGCAUAACUGAAAGAGAGUCGAAUAUGUUGGUCAGGUUUCGAAAAAUCACAAUUAAAAGCGUGCCCAGGAAUAAGAAAUAUUCCAUGGGAAACACACUUCUUCUCCACUAACUCCAUUACAUCAUUAAUGCCAGAAAAUUAAUGGACACGAAAUAAAACGAUGUAACUACAAACGAAUAGAAACGAC